GAUGAACGCUGGCGGCGUGCCUAAUACAUGCCAGUCGAGCGAACGGACGAGAAGCUUGCUUCUCUGAUGUUAGCGGCGGACGGGUGAGUAACACGUGGAUAACCUACCUAUAAGACUGGGAUAACUUCGGGAAACCGUAGCUAAUACCGGAUAAUAUUUUGAACCGCAUGGUUCAAAAGUGAAAGACGGUCUUGCUGUCACUUAUAGAUGGAUCCGCGCUGCAUUAGCUAGUUGGUAAGGUAACGGCUUACCAAGGCAACGAUGCAUAGCCGACCUGAGAGGGUGAUCGGCCACACUGGAACUGAGACACGGUCCAGACUCUUACGGGAGGCAGCAGUAGGGAAUCUUCCGCAAUGGGCGAAAGCCUGACGGAGCAACGCCGCGUGAGUGAUGAAGGUCUUCGGAUCGUAAAACUCUGUUAUUAGGGAAGAACAUAUGUGUAAGUAACUGUGCACAUCUUGACGGUACCUAAUCAGAAAGCCACGGCUAACUACGUG
rnacentral:rRNA from 1 species